GAGUGGCGAACGGGUGAGUAACACGUGGGUAACCUGCCCAUCAGAAGGGGAUAACACUUGGAAACAGGUGCUAAUACCGUAUAACACUAUUUUCCGCAUGGAAGAAAGUUGAAAGGCGCUUUUGCGUCACUGAUGGAUGGACCCGCGGUGCAUUAGCUAGUUGGUGAGGUAACGGCUCACCAAGGCCACGAUGCAUAGCCGACCUGAGAGGGUGAUCGGCCACACUGGGACUGAGACACGGCCCAGACUCCUACGGGAGGCAGCAGUAGGGAAUCUUCGGCAAUGGACGAAAGUCUGACCGAGCAACGCCGCGUGAGUGAAGAAGGUUUUCGGAUCGUAAAACUCUGUUGUUAGAGAAGAACAAGGAUGAGAGUAGAACGUUCAUCCCUUGACGGUAUCUAACCAGAAAGCCACGGCUAACUACGUGCCAGCAGCCGCGGUAAUACGUAGGUGGCAAGCGUUGUCCGGAUUUAUUGGGCGUAAAGCGAGCGCAGGCGGUUUCUUAAGUCUGAUGUGAAAGCCCCCGGCUCAACCGGGGAGGGUCAUUGGAAACUGGGGGACUUGAGUGCAGAAGAGGAGAGUGGAAUUCCAUGUGUAGCGGUGAAAUGCGUAGAUAUAUGGAGGAACACCAGUGGCGAAGGCGGCUCUCUGGUCUGUAACUGACGCUGAGGCUCGAAAGCGUGGGGAGCGAACAGGGUUAGAUACCCUGGUAGUCCACGCCGUAAACGAUGAGUGCUAAGUGUUGGAGGGUUUCCGCCCUUCAGU
rnacentral:rRNA from 1 species